rnacentral:tRNA from 1 species
GGGCUCAUAGCUCAGUUGGUUAGAGUGCUUCCUUGACAUGGAAGAGGUCGGAGGUUCGAGCCCUCCUGGGCCCACCA